rnacentral:rRNA from 1 species
GACGAACGCUGGCGGCGUGCUUAACACAUGCAAGUCGAACGAAGUGGCGAACGGGUGAGUAACGCGUAAUCAACCUGCCCUUCAGAGGGGGACAACAGUUGGAAACGACUGCUAUUACCGCAUACUGAAGGAGGGGAUUGCGUCUGAUUAGCUAGUUGGAGGGGUAACGGCCCACCAAGGCGAUGAUCAGUAGUCGGUCUGAGAGGGUGAACGGCCACAUUGGGACUGAGACACGGCCCAGACUCCUUCGGGAGGCAGCAGGGGGGAAACUUCCGCAAUGGACGAAAGUCUGACUGAGCAACGCCGCGGGAGUGAUGACGGCCUUCGGGUUUUAAAGCUCUUUUAAUCGGGACGCGGUACCGGAAUAGAAAGCCACGGCUAACUACGUGCCAGCAGCCGCGGUAAUAC